rnacentral:rRNA from 1 species
UACGUAGGGAGCAAGCGUUGUCCGGAAUCAUUGGGCGUAAAGGGUGCGUAGGCGGUCGCGCAAGUCGGAUGUGAAAUCUCAGGGCUCAACCCUGAAACUGCAUUCGAUACUGCGUGGCUAGAGUGCUGGAGGGGAGACUGGAAUUUACGGUGUAGCAGUGAAAUGCGUAGAUAUCGUAAGGAAGACCAGUGGCGAAGGCGAGUCUCUGGGCCGAAACUGACGCUGAGGAGCGAAAGCGUGGGGAGCAAACAGG